GGGAUGCGGCAUGGAACUCCUCGCUGGCGGCUCGGCUCUCCUUCAGGAACUCCUCCGCGGACUGCAGUGCCGCCACGGCCUCCCGGUGAGACUUCUCGCUGUUGCCCUCGUCCAGGAUCAGCCCAUGACAUCAGAGAUAUGAAAAAAGAAGGUCUGCAUAUAUACUUUUGCUUCCAUGUGCUUCCACUUGACGAAGAGUCUGUGCUUCUCGCCCCAGCCGUCGAGCAGGGGUAGGUCCGCAAUGCUUUCAUGUGCCUGCAGAUGAAAUCAACAGGGUGGCCUUUGGGCUGUCGAUCGCCAGCCCAAGUUGAACAUCGAUCGCCUGGCAAACACACACAUAGCAUGAUUGAUGAACCAACCGAGAAGCCGACAUAUCAACUGCAUGCCAACUUACUUGCACCAUGAUGAAUCAUGUAGCUUUCAGGACACCUUCAGACAAGUCCACAGGAAGACCUUUCCUACACGAAACGGCAGUCAGGUAGUGAACAAUAACUGAGAGAAAAAACCGGAACCAUGGAACAGCGUUGCUCCUCAUGACUACCUCUUUUCAGG